GAUCUUAAGUCCCUUCCUGACUAAAAUUGUUGGGAAAUUUCCAGAAGCUAAAGGUCUUCAACCCCCGGAAGUUCCUUGGGGCGAGACAACCUGCCAUGGGGAAAAUGGCAUUAAGACCUGGCUGAGCACUUCCAUCUUCCAGUAAACAAGAUCUUAAGUGAGUGGAGGCAGGUGCGGAACACACUGAGAACCUGGUAGGAGAGUAUGUCAGGGAUGGUUUGCUGCAAGCUAAGCAGGCUAAAGAUGAUUGAAAAGAUUAUGUCCAGACCUAUGGGAACUAUACAAGAUGGGUUUGUGGAGCAGGGA